CAGAAGCAUCGACUCAUUUCUCCAGCUCGAGACCCGCGACGGUGACCCAACCGGAACUCCCGCGUCCGGCAACGACACAACGGCGCACCGGUCAUGUUCUACGCGUCUUGUCGUCGUGGUUCUGUCUAUGGUCACGGAUCAUCCAUGCAGGGAGCGAGGAGAGAGAGAGAGAGAGAGAGAGAGAGAGAGAGUCGAAGCCCAAAAGCUUCUAGUUUUCCGGCGAUCAUCGGGGAUGCAUGAGGUAUGGAAAUCGAUCCUCUCGGUGAGCUCUAGGUACUGGUAUACUUAGUUUUUAGUUUUUGAUGGGUUUUGAUGGAUUGAUGUUUUGAUGGGUGUCGGGUACCGGCGGAGCCGCUGUCCUCUUUGGUCGUUCUAUGCUUCUGGGCUCAUAUCCGACAUCUUGGAGCAUCGUCUGAGGUCCGGGGAAUCCCAGCUCAUUGGUUUGGUUGCAUUGAGAAGUUUGGAGUGGGUGGAAUGUGGAGGUGAUCAAUAACAGGACAAGGUUGCUUCGUUCUGUGUUGUGAAGUGAAGGCUAUAGGUAAAGGACUCCAGUUACCCGAGGAACGGAAGGUUGGUGAAUUCCGGACAACGCAAAACGGUAAAGCUUCGAAAUCCAGGUACUGUGCACUGGUGACGGGAUUGACGGACGGAGCAGGGUGCGCGGAGAUAGUUUCGGUGAAUAGUAGUAACUGAAUUCAGGUUCUGUGUCUAGUCUUGAGCUCUAUCACUUGAGAGUCGUUAAUUUGGAACUUAUUAUUCCUUAUUUUGUCUUGUAUCGGAGUGUACCAACUCUUAUUUACCCUAGCGGUGAUCUAGAAGUGCUUUAGACGAAUAAGUUCGAUAAAUGAUUCUAAAAAGUUUUCACCUCAAAAAGUAUUUAGACGUUUCCGCUACGCGAUUUAUGAAAAGCGAUUUUAACUAAAAUGCCUUGCGGGUUUUUAGGAUGUAAACUGAACAUUCAGUUUAUGUCUUAGAGACACGCGGCACUGGGACGUGCUCAAGCUGAUGAGGUGCAGUUUGGGGCGUUACACCGUUUUCCGACGCGUUUCGUACCCGUUUCCAGUUUCGAUACGGGAUACGCGGGCAUUUUCGCGUUUCCGUGCAUCAUAGAUGAAAUCCAAUACACUUUGAUUCUCAGCUUGGGAAGAACCCAUGACGCAAAUGGUUUCUGUUUGUUUUAGGAUCCCAAAUACCCUUCUGAGUGUAAAGAAAUGCAGGAACCAAGUGUCUCGGAAAACUGAAGUGCGGGCUCAUGGAUUUUCAAGCUCGGCCAAAAGCCAUAGAAAAUAGAAACUCAAAUGAGGACUACAGGAGACUGAAAGGAAGUCAGGCGGUUUUCCUUUUUUUUUCGAUGACAAAGGAAGUCAGGCGGUUGAGAGUUAAAAACUUAAAAUGUGUUGUAAAUAUUAUUAUCUAUAUGGAUGUUCAUGUAAAUACUCAUUAGUUAUGUACUUUGAUAUAA